CCAUCCGGCAACAGACAGCUCAUGAAGUGACAGCUGGGUUGGGGCCAUGCUGAUGGUCCUGUCCACAACAUGGACUCCAGUGCAAUGUCCCCCACGUCCCCAGUCCUGUAGAAAAGCAGCUGGUCCUGAAAAUGUUCUGAAGACCGCAGUUAUGGUCAUCCCAGCUCACGGCAGUGACUUACUCUAUUGCUUUCACCAGCAGAAGGGUACCGGAAGCAGCAGAGUCCUCAGUUACCCUAAAAAAAUUAAUGUAAUAGUUUUUGUUUAAUUAGGUUCAGAAACUCUAAAGCCACGGGGGCAAAAUUAGAAGGGAUCUAGGACUGCAAACAGUGUAAGGUAGAAUACUUGAUGCACUGCACACCCAGAACUCCUGAGUUCUCUCUGCUUGGUUUGCAGGUGGAGCUUGGUUAUGAGCCACACUGUGUCAAAAUACUUAGUGACUCACUUGUGCUAUAACUGGAAUAUUUUAGGAUUCUUUGCUAGGGUGAAAAGAGCAAAAUUCUCUCUCUCCUCUUCCUUCCCUUGGCCCCUCCCUCCAUCCCUGCUUUUCUUCUUGUGUUCUUUCCCCUUCCAUUUUAACCUUCUUUUCUCUAAAACACUUCUUUUUUUGAGCUUGUGCUAAGUAAUGUGCUCAUUCUGGAAGCACAACCCUAGGACUCUGAUAUGACAUGAUCAGAUUUGGGUUCCAUGGGUGGUGACUAUAAGGUUAGGACAGCAGCUAGGUUGGGCCACGCACGAUGGCUAGACCUUAAGGUCACACCCAGAGUGUGAGCUCUCAUCUAAUGCACAAUAGGGAGGGUUCAAGGUUUUAUAUGCAAUACAAGUUAUCAUGGUGUCUGGUCAGAUUUUACGACUUUCAUACUUGGAAGAAACUUAUUCUCACCUAGUUGGCAUUAUUUCAUUCAUGCUUUGUAAUAUUUGCUAACAAUAAGUGCUCCAUCUAAUGUAAUAAAGCACUUUUCCCUGCUUCCAGGUCUCCCUGAUAGUCUGACAUCCCACAUCCCCGCACUCUCCAUGGAAUUAUUAGCUAUGGUGGAAUUAGAAGUCUGUAGCAAGUGGACUUUGUUACUAAUGAUUUAUUUAUAAAUUGGUCUGUUUAUCCCAAUGUUGUAAAGAAUUAUUUCCCAGGGUAUCAUUAACUGGUUGGAUGCCACUUUGGGGGCUCUG
rnacentral:lncRNA from 1 species